UGGGGAAUAUUGCGCAAUGGGCGAAAGCCUGACGCAGCGACGCCGCGUGAGGGAAGAAGGCCUUCGGGUCGUAAACCUCUGUCUGGAGGAAAGAAACCCAUGUGUUCAAAUAGGGCUCAUGGCUGACGGUACCUCCGAAGGAAGCACCGGCUAACUCCGUGCCAGCAGCCGAGGUAAUACGGAGGGUGCAAGCGUUAAUCGGAAUCACUGGGCGUAAAGCGCACGUAGGCUGUCUUGCAAGUCAGACGUGAAAGCCCUCGGCUCAACCGGGGAACUGCGUUUGAAACUGCAUGACUUGAGUACAGGAGAGGAUGGCAGAAUUCCGGGUGUAGGGGUGAAAUCCGUAGAUAUCCGGAGGAAUACCAGUGGCGAAGGCGGCCAUCUGGACUGUCACUGACGCUGAGGUGCGAAAGCGUGGGGAGCAAACAG
rnacentral:rRNA from 1 species